ensembl:lncRNA
UCAUGGCUUCAACUCCUUCCUAGCAGAGAGCACGAGGAUCAUGGUUACAGGCAGAAGCAUCGCAGCCAGGGCGGUGAAGACGUGCGCUGCCAUUGUUCUGUGGGUCUGCUGAAAGAAUCUGCACGCAUCCGAAUCAAAGUACGGGUAUUCCAUUUCCUGAAGAAGAAGAAGAAGGAAAAAAAAAAAAAUCCAAUCUGUUGGGGCCAUGUGAGAAAGCGUUUCAGAACCGAAAACACGGCGUGUAAAGAAGAAAGAGGAACAUGGAAGAAAAACAGAGGUGAAGGCACCAAAUUAUCCAAGGAAUCGGUCUCCAAAGCAAUGCAGCCGCACUCCACGUGGCUAGGGGUCUUGGUGAGAGACGUUCAGAAGGUGGCCUGGCUGCUUUGGGAGGAAGUGGAGAGAUGCCUGAGAAACAGAGGAGGUGCCUGUCCUCAUCCAGCCCCCCUUCGGUCUGUCUUUGAACGUGACUGUCCAGGGAGGCCGUGGCCGUGGACGCAGAGGCACUGCCCACACCCCAGCUGCGGCAGCCAUCUUGCCCAGCCGACGUGAGGGAGAAGGUUCCGGGGCUGGUGCUGAGGCCUUCUCACACGGGUGGGGUGUAUUAUUGGAGUUGUCACGUGCUGACCACAGGCCUCCGGCUGCACCGCACGCUGACCACAGGGGAGGCUCGCUCACAUUUGGGCUUCGCGCCAAGGCUUGCUGGGGUAGCAGAGGCACAUGGGGGAGUUCCGUGGCUGGGGCGCCUGGCACCGUGACUGCCCACAGAGCUGGAGGCAAGCCUGCUUCUCUCUGCAGCGUGAGCGUCCCCUGCUCAGCCUCAAAACUCCAGAUCAUCCAUUGCGUGUGGCCGGGGAAGUUAUUGAGUGGAUUAUCUGCUUAGCUUAGGGCAGCAGCUAAUGACGUGUUAACCAGGUUAGGAGGAGCAGUCAGCCAAGAGCACUGCCAGCCCCUCCCUGCGCCCUACAAGAACAGGGCUGUCGUCCACACUGCCCAGGCCUCUCUACCCAGCCACCUGCAAUGAGCCCAGGACCCGGAAGUCACUUCUGCUCCCAAACUUUGUUCAACACUCAGAUCACCUAAGGUUUUAACUCACAAGCAGAUUCAGGUUCAGAUGUUUUGGGGAGUAAGGCCUGGGAUUCUGCAUUUCUGUCUCACCCCCAGGUGAGGCUGAUGUUAGCGAUUUGCGGAUUGCACCCUGAAGAGUAAGACAUAGAUGUAAAAGAAAAUAUCUUAUACAGCUGCUUUUAUAAAGCCCUAAAACCUUAGGCCAAUCACUAGACUUCCCAGAGCCUCAAUUUUCACAUUCAUAAACUAAUGACAAUAAUACUAUCUAUCUUGCAGGGUUGCCGGUUGAGAAAAUCAAAUGGUAUCAUUUAUAUAAAAAGCUUAUUAUAAACAGGGUCUUUAUGGUUAAAACUAAGAAAACUUCAACUUGAACUAGUUGAAAUAGAAAAAAAGUAAAAUGUAUUUAACUGGCUCCCAUAAACUGCAAAGUCUUGGAGUGCAUCUGGCUUCAGGCAUAGCUGGAUCCAGUUACUCAAAUUAUUUC